rnacentral:rRNA from 2 species
UACGAAGGGGGCUAGCGUUGUUCGGAAUUACUGGGCGUAAAGCGCACGUAGGCGGAUUGAUCAGUCAGGGGUGAAAUCCCAGAGCUCAACUCUGGAACUGCCUUUGAUACUGUCAAUCUAGAGUCCAGAAGAGGUGAGUGGAAUUCCGAGUGUAGAGGUGAAAUUCGUAGAUAUUCGGAGGAACACCAGUGGCGAAGGCGGCUCACUGGUCUGGUACUGACGCUGAGGUGCGAAAGCGUGGGGAGCAAACAGG